rnacentral:rRNA from 1 species
UACGUAGGUGACAAGCGUUAUCCGGAAUUACUGGGCGUAAAGCGCACGCAGGCGGCGCAUUAAGUCUGAUGUGAAAUCUCCCGGCUUAACUGGGAGGGGUCAUUGGAAACUGAUGUGCUCGGGGCGGUGAGAGGGGUGUAGAAUUCCCGGUGUAGUGGUGGAAUGCGUAGAUAUCGGGAGGAAUACCAGUGGCGAAAGCGGCACCCUGGCACUAGCCUGACGCUCAUGUGCGAAGGCGUGGGGAGCGAACGGG